AAAAUAAGGAUUCAAAAGAGAGAAAAUAGGAGAGAAACUCAUUCCCGUUUUUCUGUAAUCUGUCUCACUAAAUUGACGAUCCAUGAUUCGUUAAGCUUCAGAUCAAGCUCAAAUUUGGAGGGAAAGUUCGUAACACAUGUACCUAACUUUUGACUGUCAGAGUUUCAAAAUAACAGAUAUAAAAUUCCCCAUACUUGUAGGAACCUUGAGGAUCCAUAACAAAUAUAAGACGACAAAUCGAAC
rnacentral:lncRNA from 1 species